rnacentral:tRNA from 1 species
GGCUCUUUAGCUCAACUGGCAGAGCACCGGGGUGAAGAUCCGGAGGGCGGGGUUCGACUCCCCGGGGAGCCAC